UGCAAGUCGAGCGGUAACAGGAAUUAGCUUGCUAAUUUGCUGACGAGCGGCGGACGGGUGAGUAACGCGUAGGAAUCUGCCUGGUAGUGGGGGACAACAUGUGGAAACGCAUGCUAAUACCGCAUACGCCCUACGGGGGAAAGGAGGGGAUCUUCGGACCUUUCGCUAUCAGAUGAGCCUGCGUGAGAUUAGCUGGUUGGUGGGGUAAAGGCUCACCAAGGCGACGAUCUCUAGCUGGUCUGAGAGGAUGAUCAGCCACACUGGGACUGAGACACGGCCCAGACUCCUACGGGAGGCAGCAGUGGGGAAUAUUGGACAAUGGGGGCAACCCUGAUCCAGCCAUGCCGCGUGUGUGAAGAAGGCCUUAGGGUUGUAAAGCACUUUCAGGAGUGAGGAAGGGUGUACGGUUAAUACCCGUAUAUUUUGACGUUAACUCCAGAAGAAGCACCGGCUAACUCCGUGCCAGCAGCCGCGGUAAUACGGAUGGUGCGAGCGUUAAUCGGAAUUACUGGCCGUAAAGCGCGCGUAGGCGGCUAAGUCAGUCAGAAGUGAAAGCCCCGGGCUCAACCUGGGAAUUGCUUUUGAUACUGCUUAGCUAGAGUUUGGUAGAGGAUAGUGGAAUUCCAGGUGUAGCGGUGAAAUGCGUAGAUAUCUGGAGGAACAUCAGUGGCGAAGGCGACUGUCUGGACCAAAACUGACGCUGAGGUGGGAAAGCGUGGGUAGCAAACAGGAUUAGAUACCCUGGUAGUCCACGCCGUAAACGAUGUCAACUAGCCGUCGGGUCUAUUUACAGACUUGGUGGCGAAGCUAACGCGAUAAGUUGA
rnacentral:rRNA from 1 species